AUGGCGGCAGAAGGAGCAACUCCUCUCCUCAACAACCUCCCAGAUGAGAUCGUCAUCUGGGAGAUCCUCGUCCGCCUCGACCCCAAAUCGCUCCUCCACUGUCGCGCCGUCCGCCGUGCCUGGCGCUGCGCCACGUUCUCCCUCCCUUCCUCCUUGCCCACCAUGCCCGACAACCCGCCCUCCCCAUCUUCUCCAGCGGCAGAGACAGUCACAUCCUCUCCAUCGACCACCGGGCCGCUCAGCCUCAGUUUCACAUGGUCGCCCGCCAUGACUCCCUUCAUUUUGGAGUCCUCCUGCGAUGGCCUCCUCCUCUCCAGGACUCACAGGCCUUACUGGAGCCCGUCUGGAACCUUUCAUUCUGAAAGCAGCCUCGCCGUCUAUAACCCGGCCACAGGUGAGCAUGCGUACCUAGGCCUGCUACCGUGGGGCUUCAGUAUCUUGGGGAUGUACCCACACCGCCCUACCGCCGAGUACCGGCUGCUACUCACCAACUCCAGGGUUCCUGAAUACCAAAUUGGUUGUUAUGUCCUUACGCUGGGCUCCGACCAGCCAUUGAGGUACAUUGGGUGGCUGGAAAUAGUAAAAGCGUUGUGCAUCGAGACACCGCCCGCCCUAUUUCGUGAUAGCCCUGCAUUGGUUCCCAGUGAAGCAUAG
rnacentral:rRNA from 1 species